GGUCAGAUAGCUUAAUUGGUAGAGCAACCCAGGCCGAUAUCAGUAGAUGGCUCAUGGGUGGUUUCAGGGUUCGAAUCCCGAUCUGACCU
rnacentral:tRNA from 1 species